rnacentral:rRNA from 1 species
GAUGAACGCUGGCGGCGUGCUUAACACAUGCAAGUCGAACGGUGAAGCAGGAGCUUGCUCCUGUGGAUCAGUGGCGAACGGGUGAGUAACACGUGAGCAAUCUGCCCUGGACUCUGGGAUAAGCGUUGGAAACGACGUCUAAUACCGGAUACGAGGCGUGGGGGCAUCCCCAACGCCUGGAAAGAACUUCGGUCCAGGAUGAGCUCGCGGCCUAUCAGGUAGUUGGUGAGGUAACGGCUCACCAAGCCUACGACGGGUAGCCGGCCUGAGAGGGUGACCGGCCACACUGGGACUGAGACCCGGCCCAGACUCCGACGGGAGGCAGCAGUGGGGAAUAUUGCACAAUGGGCGCAAGCCUGAUGCAGCAACGCCGCGUGAGGGACGACGGCCUUCGGGUUGUAAACCUCUUUUAGUAGGGAAGAAGCGAAAGUGACGGUACCUGCAGAAAAAGCACCGGCUAACUACGUGCCAGCAGCCGCGGUAACAC